GGGCGUGUAGAUCAGUGGAAAGAUCGUCUGUUUCCGGAGCAGAAGGUCGAGGGUUCGACCCCCUCCACGCUCG